GAUGAACGCUGGCGGCGUGCCUAAUAUAUGCAAGUCGAGCGAACGGACGAGAAGCUUGCUUCUCUGAUGUUAGCGGCGGACGGGUGAGUAACACGUGGAUAACCUACCUAUAAGACUGGGAUAACUUCGGGAAACCGGAGCUAAUACCGGAUGAUAUUUUGAACCGCAUGGUUCAAAAGUGAAAGACGGUCUUGCUGUCACUUAUAGAUGGAUCCGCGCUGCAUUAGCUAGUUGGUAAGGUAACGGCUUACCAAGGCAACGAUGCAUAGCCGACCUGAGAGGGUGAUCGGCCACACUGGAACUGAGACACGGUCCAGACUCCUACGGGAGGCAGCAGUAGGGAAUCUUCCGCAAUGGGCGAAAGCCUGGCGGAGCAACGCCGCGUGAGUGAUGAAGGUCUUCGGAUCGUAAAACUCUGUUAUUAGGGAAGAACAUAUGUGUAAGUAACUGUGCACAUCUUGACGGUACCUAAUCAGAAAGCCACGGCUAACUACGUG
rnacentral:rRNA from 1 species